GCGGGGGUGGCAGAGCCUGGUCAAAUGCGCUAGCUUGAGGGGCUAGUUCCUUAGUGGAUGCGAGGGUUCGAAUCCCUUCCCCCGCA
rnacentral:tRNA from 1 species